rnacentral:tRNA from 1 species
GCCGAUGUAGCUCAGCUGGUUAGAGCGCCACUUUUGUAAAGUGGAUGUCACGGGUUCGAUUCCUGUCAUCGGCUCCA